GAUUAGCCAUGCUAGUUGUGCGGGUUUAGACCCGCAGCGGAAAGCUCAGUAACACGUGGCCAAGCUACCCUGUGGACGGGAAUACUCUCGGGAAACUGAGGCUAAUCCCCGAUAACGCUUUGCUCCUGGAAGGGGCAAAGCCGGAAACGCUCCGGCGCCACAGGAUGCGGCUGCGGUCGAUUAGGUAGACGGUGGGGUAACGGCCCACCGUGCCCAUAAUCGGUACGGGUUGUGAGAGCAAGAGCCCGGAGACGGAAUCUGAGACAAGAUUCCGGGCCCUACGGGGCGCAGCAGGCGCGAAACCUUUACACUGUACGAAAGUGCGAUAAGGGGACUCCGAGUGUGAAGGCAUAGAGCCUUCACUUUUGUACACCGUAAGGUGGUGCACGAAUAAGGACUGGGCAAGACCGGUGCCAGCCGCCGCGGUAAUACCGGCAGUCCGAGUGAUGGCCGAUCUUAUUGGGCCUAAAGCGUCCGUAGCUGGCUGAACAAGUCCGUUGGGAAAUCUGUCCGCUUAACGGGUAGGCGUCCAGCGGAAAACUGUUCCCUUGGGGACCGGAAGACCUGAGGGGAACUUCUGGGGUAGGA
rnacentral:rRNA from 1 species